UAAUCUCUGCGUAUAGCUUUGAAUGAAAGCACUUAUCCAACAGAGGUAUAGAAAGACAGAGUUGCAGAUUUCAUUACGUGAUUGUCGGCAGGAAGACAUUUGAACAGCCUUUUUAGGAUGCCAACCCUUUAGGCUGGUAGUUUAACCAACCAAAUAUCCUCUUCUGUCAUCAGCCUGGGGGGCUUUUUGACUUGAAAAUGGAAAACAUUACCUCACGCUUUAGGAAAAGCAAAGGCGGAAAUAAGCACUCAUGACUUAGCUUGUCAGUAUUCAGUGAAACUACAAAGUCACUGCUGAGCAAAGACAAACAAGCAACAGCAUCAUUUGCGCUGCAUCCCCUCUAAUCUUUUGGUUACACCCUGUCAUCCAAGGACAGAUAGAGAUUUCACGCCUUGUGCCAAAGGGAUGUAAUUUCCUCCCAUGGAUGGCAGACAAAGAAUUACUCUCUUAGGUGAUGAGUGUUUGGCUCCAUCCAGGUGAGAGACACUGAUGUUUUUCCCCCUCCUUUAAAGUAAUUUUGCGGUUUCUUAUCACGUGAUGGAUGACAGCGCUGGAAGGUAUGCAGAGCAGCUGUCAGGUCAUGCAUUCACAGUAUCACACUGGUACACUGUUUGUAGUGUUGAGUAUGCCAGAGCUGAACAAUUGGCACUGUUUUUUUUUUCUGACUGUUUUUAAGGAAUGAAAAUAACAGUGUAGGUGUUUGCUUUUCUAUUAAUUAAACCUGACAUCUUAAUCACAUGGAGCAUCAGAAAAGAAAAACUUCUGAGCAACAUUUGAUGAUAUAAACUCAAGCUAUUACGAUUUGAUUGUAAUGAAACAAAGUAUUCCUGGCUCUCUCAGACUGUGGUUCAUAUUUGCAUCACUCAAAAAUGGUAUGACGCGAGUUCUUUGUCCAUCAAACUAUGUCCUGACUUGCUUUCCAAUAAUACUGCUAUCUAGUGUGGAUGUCAGCCUUCGUUCUCCAGGCAGCUGAACCUCAGACGUACUUUUUUGGCACCUGAAUUAAAGGUCAUGUGUGUGUUAUCAAGUCACUCAUUGAAGCAGCUGCUGGUUUUCACAAUACUACAAACUUACACGGAGCCAAGUUUCUUUACUGUUGUUAUUGGCCACACUUUUGCCAAGAGAUACUCUGCACUACGUCUAAGUUCUUCUUUGUAUAAUGACACAAUCAAGCCAUUAAGUGGGCAUGUUCAUUCAGGCACCACACAACAUGCUCACUAAGAUGUUCAGUCUGAGCUUAUUUUCUGGAAAAGACAAGUACAAUUAAUAUUGUUUGACAUUAAGUUUAGUGAAAUUGUUUUAAACUUGAAAAUCUAUUACUGAAACAGAAUAUUGAUAUCUUGGCCUAACAUUGUCACUAAUCUUUUUUGUUCUUGGUUUCUAGGAAAACGAGGCAGAUAGCACGAGUCAAAAUACUGCAAAAGUUGCCUGAAGGCUUAUUUGGAUGUGAAGGUUAUAAUAAAUACCAAACAUGGUUUUGAUUCGGAAUUUUUAUCUCAGGCAGAAGAAUUAAAGAGGAGAAUGAGAGGGGACCAAAGAUUGAGCCUUGAGGAACUCCACAUUUAAAAGAUAUGAUGGGAAUUGUGUUUCAAUUAUUGAUAUCGUUUGAGUGUUUCAAACUGGCAAAAAAAAAAGUAGGUUUAAGAGAAUAUUGACACUAAAUGCAAGCAUCCACAGGUGACAUUAGCUGCUCAACGUUGCCAGUGAUUAGCCUUUGCUCGUCUUUCGUCCUGUUUUCCCUUGAAACUUGAUCGCUAAAGUUUUGGUAAAAAUAAAAAAGAUAAUUCAUUGAUGAAUUAUUUGGAUGUCAACGAGAUACUUAAAUGUCAUAUCUGUUGUAAUAUCCAUCAAAGUCUUACCACUACAUGAUUAGAGAGUAGACAACGGAAGAGGAUUAGGGCCUAGGAAAAAAAACAAAAACAAAAAAACAUUAUAUAAGGUUGUGGUGUCCCGUUGCCCCCAGAAAUUAUGUCGACAAUGUGAGAAAAAAAAAAACAAAACAUACAUUUUAUCUAUGAUUUGCUAUGACAGUUUUGAAGUUCAAGGUCUUUUUUCUCUUUAAGUGCAAGGCUAUUAGGAGCAUUUUAAUGGAGAACAAAAGAGGACCGAGCACUGAGCCUUGGGGAACUCCAUAGGAUGGAAAUGUAGGGGGUUAAGAUUGACUUUUGAGUGACAGGUGUGUCUAUGAAUGGGUUAAUGAAGAGCUAAUUUCUUGUAAGAACAGGGCAGAAAUUCUCCACUAACAAAGUUAAAACCCUGACUAUUAAAGUGAUCAAAACUGACAACCAACAAAUCAGUGGAAGAUCUACACAUUUUAGAGUUAGAUGCCUAUCUUAAGAUUCCAUAAAACACAACCCAUUUCUCAGGAAGUUCCUACUCCUUCUUAUCAUGAAGCCUUACUCAUGCUGACACAAAUACAGGCUGGGUCUGACACACCCCGCUUCUCCAUGAGAAUCAGCACAUCCCCUGCAAGACACUGGCGUACACAUCUGCACAAGCCCACACAUCCCAAACCACAGCAGCUCUGACUGGAAGCCUUGAAUAACCGUUUAAAGAUGUGCUCUCUCUCUCUCUCUUUCUUUCUUUCUUUCCUCUCCUCUCUUCGUUUUAUUUUUUCAGCCCUGUAUGCUCCAUCACCCUCCAGCAGGCAGAGGAAUGUGAGGGCUUGGCUUUUCAACUUGGCAAAAACAAGAUUUGUGCAACUAUGCAACCGAUAAAAAUAGCAAACGCAUCAGAAUAAUUUUCCUGACAGAUGUGUUGUCAUUCUGCUCAUCAUAUCUAUACUGUGAGGUUAUUAACAGGAGAUUUAACAAACAUUAUGGAGUAUAAAAGAAUGGGAAAAAAAGGCUUUAGUACACGUAAACCAUAAUUUCUGUGUUGAUAUACUUUCAAAGGUCAGGGCUGAGUGGAGCUCGAUGUAGCAUGCACUAGCUAAACCCUGGAAAACAUCCUUGAUGGGUUCCUCACACAAGUACAAAGACAAAGAUAUUCAUGGCUGUGG